rnacentral:rRNA from 1 species
GUGAGGAAUAUUGCGCAAUGGGGGAAACCCUGACGCAGCGACGCCGCGUGGAGGACGACGCCCUUCGGGGUGUAAACUCCUUUCGACGGGGACGAAUGCCCGCAAGGGUUUGACGGUACCCGUAUAAGAAGCCCCGGCUAACUACGUGCCAGCAGCCGCGGUAAUACGUAGGGGGCAAGCGUUGCUCGGAAUUACUGGGCGUAAAGGGUCCGUAGGCGGUGGGGCAUGUCGGUUGUGAAAUCUCCCGGCUUAACUGGGAGGGUGCGAUCGAAACUGUUCCGCUAGAGGGCCGGAGAGGCGAGUGGAAUUGCUGGUGUAGCGGUGAAAUGCGUAGAGAUCAGCAGGAACACCGGAGGCGAAGGCGGCUCGCUGGACGGCACCUGACGCUGAGGGACGAAAGCUAGGGGAGCAAACAGGG